UACGUAGGGUGCAAGCGUUGUCCGGAAUUAUUGGGCGUAAAGAGCUCGUAGGCGGUUUGUCGCGUCUGCUGUGAAAACCCGAGGCUCAACCUCGGGCCUGCAGUGGGUACGGGCAGACUAGAGUGCGGUAGGGGAGAUUGGAAUUCCUGGUGUAGCGGUGGAAUGCGCAGAUAUCAGGAGGAACACCGGUGGCGAAGGCGGGUCUCUGGAACGCAACUGACGCUGAGACGCGAAAGCGUGGGGAGCAAACAGG
rnacentral:rRNA from 1 species